CAUUCAAGUAAAUAUUGGACCCAAAGAAUUUUGCAAAAAAUGAUUUAUUUAGGCAGAGAGAGAGAGAGAGAGAGAAAGAAAGAAUUAGAUAGAUAGAGAGCGAGCCCUCACGCUGUCUUGGAAGGAGAUCCCCAGAGGGAAAAACCAAACAGCUUUCAGUCUCUGAAGGAACAAAAUCAAAACCGCUUGAACAAGUAUCCCGGCUGGAGGAAAAACUGGAGCUGUGAACCACAAGGAAGCCCGUGAGGAACCAUAUGAAAAAAUGCUACUUGCAAAAGACCAGUGCAUCGAGAAAUUGCAAGCUGAAGUAAAAGCUUCCCAGGAGCAACUUAUAGCCCAUGUAAGUAUUUCCCUCCUUUUUCCAUUCCUUUAUUUAUAUCAUCGUUAACUUGGAAAUGAAUAGAACUUGGAAAAAAGUUAUAAAUGAGUUUUGUCUGCUGCAAACCAAAUCACAAAGCUAAAAAUUAGUAUUUUUACUGCCUCUGCACAGUUUCUUGAUUUUUGUAGGUGAUAAAACUUCCAAACUGAGCUCUUAUGUGUAAUCAGAUGGUCUAGUCAGGGGCUAUCAGAGGAAGAGAACCGGAAACUCAGGGCAGAAAGAUGAAGAAGCCAGCCCAUUUUGGGGAUUAGGUUGAAGUGGAGAGAUGUGUCAAUUGUUGACCCAUCAGAUAAAGGUCUAGAGCAGUGCUUCUUAAACUUUACUGUAUGUAAGAACAACCCGAAAGCCUCUUAAAACAAAUUGCUCAGAGAUUCUGUUUCCUCCAUGCAUAGGGUGGGCCUGGAAAUUUGCACUUUUGGGUAAUUAUAGAUUCAGGCAAUGCUGACACUGCCAGUCUUUCAGGACACAUUUAAGUAACAUUGUUUUUUAU
rnacentral:lncRNA from 1 species